rnacentral:sRNA from 1 species
CAGGUACUGACCAGCGGUGGAGCAAACAUGAUUGCUAGGCCCAAGAUCCGCAUGUCUAGGGCCUGAUUGGAUAUGUGUGUAGUUCGCAUAAGAGGAGUCGCGGUAGCGCGAGCUCUUUGAUCAGCAGAGAGACUCAGCGCCAUGGCAGAUACGAUCGAUGCUGGCUGCUUGAUCAACGAGUCCAUACCAGUGUCGUAUCUCGUAUCGGUCUCUACUUUUGAGUGUUUGGUUUUCAGUCCAACUCCUCCGAAUUCGCAGCAUUCCAAGGAAACACUGAGUUAAGAGUAGAAUACAUUCCAUCCAACCAUUAUCGCAAAUCCCGUUGAAAUAAAAACGGGGACAGUCUCUUUCUAAAGAAAGAGGAGAAAUAGGAGCAGGGAAAGGAAGAGAGCGGGGGAAAUGACAUUCUAAAUUCCCAUUGCAAUGUGCUCGUGUCAAUCAAUUUAGAACUGGCACGAAUAAAGAGCCGAGGCAGAAACUAAAAUAUAAAAAAAGGGCAACAGACCAGGCCGUGACAAUAUAAACCGUAACAUCUUCGCACAGCGGAUGAUAAAGAAAAGAAGAACCGCGCCGGAGACACACCGUAAUGAGAAAAAACCUGGUGGCCAUGAAAGGCGGGGGAAAGGAAAUAUAACAAGAGAAAACGAAGGUUUGGGGUCGUUCAGAGGACAUGAGAAAGAAUCGAACCUUUUGCAGGGGAAAAAAAGAAAAGAAAAAGAAAAAAGAAAAAAAAAUGAUAGAAAAGACCAAAAAUAACAAAUAGACAAACCAAAAACGCCACUUUUAUUAUUUCCCUUUCCCCUUCCAUGAUGUAUAUAAAUCAAAUCCUUAUCCUUGAUAAUGGACUGCACUGACCUGACAAAAAGACAAAUGCCCAUAGCUAGCAUGAAGCACAAGAUGACAUGAGCAACGACACAAGCAGAAAACAAAUAAUACAAAUGGAGCAAAACGAAAUAAGACAAAAGAAAUACAUUGAUGGAAAAUGGAAGCAAGAUGACCCGACGAUUGAUAACAGAAAGUGAAAAUGAAAAGAAAAUACCCCGAAAAGAAACAUUGUUACAAGAAAAAGCCAAAGCCCAUGGAAAAGGCGAAAAAUAGCACCAGAUAAAAGAAAAUAAAUAACAAAAUGACAAGAUCCAAAUCAAAAAUGCAAGCCUUAGCCUAAAGCCAUACAUAUACCCUUCUCAAAACAUACCACAUGAUUUCCCAUGAUAUGAACAAGCAGAUCAGGGGGAAAAAAGGAAAGAAGAAAAGAUAGGUUCGGGUUAUCGCUCCCGUGCAUUCCUAUUACCACCACUCUCACCAUCAUUCUCAUUCCCAUUCCUGGCAGGAACAUCGGUAACCCCCCUUCCCAAAUUCCGCGACAACCCUACAGCGGCCCACCACUCGUCAUCAAUAUCUUGCCUGCGUGUUAGCUGGUCGAUGAUUGUUUGGAUCUGCUGGAGGUCUUCCAUGGAGCUGCUCUGACCGAAGGAGAUGUUGAUGGAUGUGGGUGUAGAGGUGGAUGUUGAGGACGUUGGGGAUGUUGAUGAUGAGGGGUGGGAGGCCGUGUUUGUGUUCCGGUUUGUAUUGCGGUUUGCGGAUGCCUCUGCGAUUACAGAUCGGAUGGUCCGGGUCAUUCCGAGUAGAUUUUCUUCUCGUUGUCGCCGUAGCUGUUGCUGCUGCUGUUGGUAUUGGAUGGUAUCUUCGAGUGCUGCCAUUGAUGCUGAUAAACGGGUGGGAUUUGGACGGUUGCUACGCCCCAAGAGUCGCCAGGUGGGUUCGUGCUCCAUGUCCGAUUCCGGUUCCGUAUCAGAGCCUUCGGACGAUGAGAAGAAAUCGCAAUGAUUGGUAUGGUCUGUGAAUGGUUCAAGGGGAGCUAGGACGUCCAGUCGAGAUUGGAUAUUGUUGGAGUCCAAAGAGGAAGAGAGAGUUAAUUGUGACGAAUUAGCUGAGCUGCGGGACGGGGCCGUGGAGGCAGAUGCGGUGGCGGAGGUGAAAGAGGAGUCGAGGGUUGGGAGCUGAUCAUCUGGUGUGAUGGUGGUAAACAGAGAUUCCCACAUGUUAGGUUCGUCAUCGCCAUCAUCAUCAUCAGGAUCGUUGUUGUCGUGGUCGUCGUGAUGGCUUUCGCCGCUAGGGCUAAAGCUACGAUCGCGAUCGCCAAGUCCAUCUAUGAUGUGACGGUGGCGAGUGGCAUCUACAUUGUUUGUAUCUGCGAUGGAGCGAAGGCCGACUCUUCGCAACAAUGGCAUGUUAGAAUCGUAACUAUCUGACGAUAGCAACGCACGCUCAUUACUAUGUGACGGGUAAGCCGGUGCAAAUCUAGGACUGUAUGAGGCCAUAACUGCAAGACGGUUGUCCACGCGGGAAUCGGCGGUCGUAUUACUGCUCGACUCCGACCUGCGGGGUGGUUCGUCUGAAGGAGGCCACGAAGGCGGUUGGAGCAUCUCGAUCCUCAAGGAGGACUCUCGUGGGAUCCUGAUGCGACGACUGGGGGAAGAAUAGCGUAUGGCACUGGUUCGGGCCAACCGGUCGACUAGAUCUCGCCUCGUUUGGGGUGAGUAUGAGCUGGAAGCAGGCCAGUCCAGGCGAGACUCGUUAUCCUGGGAGGCAUAACGUGAGGUACCUGGCUCGUUGGCGGUUGUAUUUGUACUUCUUGUCGGAGCGCCAGAAGGAGUAGUGCCGUCCCCAAUCAUUUGGCGACCAAGGUUCUCUACCCAAUGAGGCAUUGAGGAGCGGAAAGGCACAUAGCCAGGCCGAUUUGAAGAAGCACUGUUUGAUCCAUUAUUGUUCCUGUGAGAACGGCGGACUGUCCGUUGGCGCCGAAUAGCGGAGCGGGAGGGUGCUAGCGGGUCGCGUUUGGCAUGGGCAUCGCUGGCAGCGGGGGAGCGAGCAGGCGGCUCCCAGUGGAGCCUAAACAAUAGAGCACAUCGGCAAGUCAGUACAUAGUGAAAUAAUUAAAUAUUACAAUUGUAUAUUUCUCGAGUUGCUGGGUGAUGAAGAGGAGCGAUGAACGGUUUUACGCAGCGCGUCGCGCCGACUGGGCGGCUAGAGACAACACAUUCCAUGCAAAACAAGACCUCGGGAGGCGAACGAAGUCACGAGUUAGCCCGCGACAUGCAAGACACCAAAAAAAAAAACUUACGGGAUUCCCAUUUUUGCACGGCAACAGAGGAGGCAAUAGACGCCAGGUAGAAAACGAAUGCCGGUCAGUGAGCGACCCCGAUAGAGGAGGACUGAGAUACAGAAGAGUGGAGGAGG